CCUGUUUGAGACAGAGUCUUGCUCAGUCUCCAGGCUCACCGCAACCUCCGCCUCCUGGAUUCAGGCAGUUCUCCUGCCUCAGCCUCCCGAGUAGCCGGGACUACAGGCUCACACCACCACCACACCCAGCUUUUUUGUAGUUUUUAUUAUAGAUGGGAUUUCACCAUGUUGGCCAGGAUGGUCUCGAUCUCUUGACCUCUUGAUCCACCCGCCUCGGCCUCGCAAAGUGCUGGGAUUACAGGCGUGAGCCACCGCGCCCGGCUUGUUUUUUUUUUUUUUUUUUUAAGAGACAAGAGUCUGCUCUGUUCCCCAGGCUGGUCUAGACUCCCGGGCUUGAGCCCCGCCUGGACCUCCCAGAGUGCUGGCUACAGGCGCCGCCACCACCCGGCCUGUUCUGCAAAUGCUCAGAAGCCAGGAUGGCCCAAGGUCACCAGGGACCAUGCUGCCUGGCAGAGGGUUGAGGCCGGGAGGGGACCGUGCAGACAGGCGAGGCCAUUCAUGAUCUGUGGGAAUGGCCGCGGGGAACUCUGUGCCGUCCCGCGGCCCCACCCCGCUCCGCUAUGGGAAGCUGUAGCUUGGCGCUGCCCGCUGUGACGCGAAGGACGGCGAGGGCACCCGGGUCGCGGUGGAAACGGGGGUGGGACCGGGCGCGGCCGGCAGGGGGCAGCAGCUCCACAGCUGCGCGGAGCUUGGGGACAGAGUCCCCAGCGAAUCGCGGCCGGCGUUCUGCCACUUCCCCGCCGCCACCGCACCCACCGGGCUGGGGGGCCGCAGCCGACUGCCGGGCGCGCCGGGACAAAGGGAGCCCCCGGUGGGGCCUGGGCGCCUACAUCUUUCCUCCUGGGGAAGGAGGGGACAGGAAACUGAGGCUGUUUCCGGGCUGCCCCCGGCCGGGGAGAGCAGGGCUCGGGAGGAUCGGCCCGGCCCGAGGCGGUGCCCCAGAGACCGCUGCGCUCUGGCUCUGCACCCCGGAAGAUCAGGGGCGGAGGCCACCCGAACCAACUCAGCCAGGACUGCCCGGGCCGGGAGCUCACUGGGGGGCGCCCCGAAACCCACCCCAGACAAGCGAAGAAAACAGCUCUGUGUCCCAGGACCAGCACUGAUACCUGUUGUCACCCACUGUGCGACCUGGGAGAGUUACUGACCCUCUCCGGGCCUUAAUCAGUCAUUUGAAACACAAGCCAAGCCGGUAGAUAAGAUGGUUUUUUUUUUUUUUUUUUUUUUUUUUUUUUAAAGAUGGGGUUUCACCAUGAUGGCCAGGCUGGUUUUGAACUCCUGACCUCAGGUGAUCCACCCACCUCGGCCUCCCAUAGUGCUAGGAUUACAGGCACUUUGAGUCACCACACCCGGCCGAUAAGAUGGUCUUUAGGCCUCUCCCAGCUCUGAGGUUCCUUGAAUCUAAGACACUCUAGUCCCUCCCGGCGUCCCCACCCGGGGCUGGCUUAGCCUCAGGGAGGCCUGGCUGAACUGGGGCCCUCUCGGAAGGUCUCUGCUCCGCUGCUCAGAAAAGGUCUUUUGGAAGGCUGGGUCCCACCCAGCGGAAGGUGCCAGAGGAACAGGCCAUUGCCUAAAAAGCCUGGACAAAUUAAAAACCAGCAGCUCUGCCCUGGUGUUUUCCGAGCACAGCCAAACCCAAAUCACACCUCUGCACCCACCUGGCUCCAGCAGCAUUUCCAGCCCGCAGAUGUUAUUUUUACACCCUUUCCACGCAGGGAAGCACUGAGGAGGGUAAACUAUUUUUAGAAUGCUAUUUUAAGUAACAUACUGGCCUGAGGAGGUGGCUCAGGCCUGUAAUCCAGCGCCUUGGGAGGCCCAGGCAGGAGAAUCCCUUGAGGCCAGGAGUUCAAUACCAGCCGGCGCAGCAAAGAGACUCCCAUCUCUAUUAAAUAAAUAAAUAGGCCGGGCAUGGUGGCUCAAGCCUGUAAUCCUGGCACUUUGGGAGGCCGAGGCGGGUGGAUCACGAGGUCAAGAGAUCGAGACCAUCCUGGUCAACAUGGUGAAACGCCAUCUCUACUAAAAAUACAAAAAUUAGCUGGGCAUGGUGGUGCGUGCCUGUAAUCCCAGCUACUCAGGAGGCUGAGGCAGGAGAAUUGCCUGAACCCAGGAGGCGGAGGUUGCGGUGAGCCAAGAUCGCACCAUUGUACUCCAGCCUGGGUAACAAGAGCGAAACUCCAUCUCAAAAAAAAUAAUAAUAAUAAUAAGAUAAAAAAUAAAUAAAAUAAAAAUAAUAAUAUAAAUAAAUAAACAGCCGGGCGUGGUGGUGUGCCCCGUGGUCCCAACUACCUGAGAGGCUGGGAAGGGCCUGACUAGCCAUAAGGAAAGCACCAGCUGAGCCCUGGGGCUGUGUUGAGCGCGCCCCCUGGGGGCCCACCAGCUCCAGCUCUGCCUCUAUUGUGACAAGGACCUCAGGAGACCCCAAGCGGAACUGCCCAGACCCGUGACCCACAGACUGGGCGGGGAGGGCGGGGGAUCACACAUUUUUGUUUUUGUUUUAAGCCACUACGUUUUGGGAUGUUUGCUACAUGGCAGUAAACAGAACAGCAACCAUGAGAGUAACGGAUUCAGACAGAAGUGCUCCGCGGGUGCAGAUCAGAUGAAUGCUCCAUGGACAUUUAGUUCGAGAGGACUAGGCCACGAGGAAUAAAAGCAAGAAAGAAGAACUGGCCAUGGGCAAGACUGUUGCUGGUUCAUUUUGCCAAAUCGGAGAUCACAGCACGUUCAGGCCAGAGGCUGUCUGCAUCUGCCUGUGCUGGACAUCCCUGCAGCCACGGCAACUUGCUACGCAAGUCCAUUCUCCUAAAGUCCGUCUACCAACUGUUAAACGGCUGCUGUCAGGAUUCAAUGAGAACACGGGAGAGGGUUCUGGAAGCAUCUGCAGGCCCUAAGCCUGAGGCGCCGUCGCUGCCGUCCUGUCUCCCGGCAGCAGGCUGCAGUUGUGGCUAGGAGCUCUCCCACUGCCCACCUCUGCUGAUGCCCGCAGACUCACCUGUCUCUCCGGCGUGGAAGAACAUGGGUUACCAGGUCAAACCCAGCCACCACCGUAGGGAACUUGGUCCGGAGCCCCAUGGCUGUUCGGAUGGAUCCGGCGAUGACAGUCACAUCUUUGGAUCUGUGAGACAGACGGAGAAGCCAGGAGAUAGUGCCCAGCAUGGACAGAGCUACGCACCCCAGAGCGCUCCCUCUGUGCGGGGCUGGGCUGCCCUGAGUGCACAGCAGCUGUUUCCCAAACCUGAGGCACCCCUGCUCUCCUGACCCCACCCCGACCAGGCCACUGCGACCCCAAAUCCAUUCUUCCAAGACACUUGCUGGCUCUGGGGGGACCUGUAGUCUCUGAAAAGUAGGUGGGGUCAGAGGACCCACGGGAACGGUCUUCUUUGUCUGCAUUCAGACGAGGCCAAGUGGCCUUGUUCUCAACUCUCCCUGCAUCUCUGUGAGGGGGUGUGGACGUGAAUGCCAUUCAGGGACAGCUCUCUGUCCACUGGACACCUGCAAAGGGCCACAGGUCACCCAAGGCCCUGUCGAGUUGGCUGGACCCGGUAACCAUCUGGCCUCUUGCUGAUUACAUCAGCAGGACCCUGGGCACUGUAGAAACCCUACUGGGGCAAGGCAGGCAGCAUGACAACAAAAACCCAAAACACAGGGUCUGGCGCAAGCCCACGACAGGCUCCAGGUGUCUGCCCCGACACUGACUCUUCGGCUCCAAUCCUUGGCUCUGCGGGGACAAAGCCUUCCUGGCCUGCCCCACCUGUGGCCUCUCCCUGGAGCCUAGGCGAACCUGGGGGCACUGGUGCACUCAGCUCAGCCCUCACACCCUCCUGCCAUUGGCCCUGGCAAGGGGCAGCUGGCACCAGGGAGCUGCUGAGCAGAACCUGGGCCCAUCCUGCUAGCUCCCUCCUAGGGGGAUGGGUACACAGGCCAGAGCUCAGCUCCUCCAGGCCCCAGGCCCCAUGGAAGAGGAGGGGACUCAGGAGGACUGGGCACAGGAGGAGGUUCCUGGCGAGUCAAUGCCCUGCAGAGCCCAGGCUUGUGGGUGGGCUGAGCAGAGGAGCCGCCAUGCUGGAUCCCUUCACUGCCCACCCUGUGCCUGACUCCGAGUGACCCCACUGGCUGCUGCUCUUGCGGCUGUGACCACGGACAGGUCCCAGCCUUAGUCUGGCUGCUCUUUAAAAUGAGGGGAGAGGUCCUGCCUGGUAACGUCGGGACACUGACGCUGCAAAGCUUUCUGUGCUUCCCUGGGAAAGAGAGUGGGUCUUUCACCCAGGUGCCAGGCCACGCACGUGGUGCUAUGGGGUUCUCCAUACGCAGACCUGAGUCGGUGCCACUCAGGACGUCUCCCUGAUCAGGGACUCGCACACAACCACACGCAGAACAAACUGAACCCAAACAAUGGGCCAAUUAUCCAAACAUUCAGGCAAAACCACUACACUCAUAACUGUCAGCCAGGCCAACAUGGAGUCACAGCCAAGAAUUAGCUGGGAAAUCGACUCGCUCUUCCUUUCAGUUUGGUGGUGAAGACCUGAACUAGGAGGGGCUUCAGGACCCAUUCCUCCUACUGUCCUCACACACAGAAAGCCCCUUGGCACCCGUGCUGGGCGGCGUCUCCCGAACUGCCAGCCCCGCUUCUCGCCACUCCCCUCCCAGCCUAGCAGCCCUGCCUCCCUCCCAGUCUCCCAACCCCAGCUCUUCAGCAAUGUUCUCUCUCACCUGUGAUCCGAAUAAAUGAUUUUGAUUCCAAUAAA